CCUACGGGGGGCAGCAGUGGGGAAUUUUCCGCAAUGGGGGAAACCCUGAUGCAGCAACGCCGCGUGAGUGAAGAAGUACUUCGUUAGGUAAAGCUCUAUCAGCAGGGAAGAAAAUAAGGGUACCUAAGUAAGAACCCCCGGAUAACUACGUGCCAGCAGCCGCGGUAAUACGUAGGGGGCAAGCGUUAUCCGGAUUUACUGGGGGUAAAGGGAGCGUAGACGGCAGUGCAAGUCUGGAGUGAAAGCCGGGGGCUCAACCCCGGGACUGCUCUGGAAACUGGACGGCUGGAGUGCAGGAGAGGAAAGUGGAAUUCCUAGUGUAGCGGUGAAAUGCGUAGAUAUAAGGAGGAACACCAGUGGCGAAGGCGGCUUACUGGACUGUAACUGACGUUGAGGCUCGAAAGCGUGGGGAGCAAACAGGAUUAGAUACCCGGGUAGUC
rnacentral:rRNA from 1 species